CUACGGGUUGCUGCAGUGGGGAAUAUUGGACAAUGGGGGAAACCCUGAUCCAGCGACGCCGCGUGAGUGAAGAAGUAUUUCGGUAUGUAAAGCUCUAUCAGCAGGGAAGAAAAUGACGGUACCUGACUAAGAAGCCCCGGCUAACUACGUGCCAGCAGCCGCGGUAAUACGUAGGGGGCAAGCGUUAUCCGGAUUUACUGGGUGUAAAGGGAGCGUAGACGGUAAGGCAAGUCUGAAGUGAAAUCCCGGGGCUCAACCCCGGAACUGCUUUGGAAACUGUCAGACUAGAGUGCAGGAGGGGUAAGUGGAAUUCCUAGUGUAGCGGUGAAAUGCGUAGAUAUUAGGAGGAACACCGGUGGCGAAGGCGGCUUACUGGACUGUAACUGACGUUGAGGCUCGAAGGCGUGGGGAGCAAACAGGAUUAGAUACCCGCGUAGUC
rnacentral:rRNA from 1 species